rnacentral:tRNA from 1 species
GCCCCCGUGGCCCAGUGGAUAGGGCGCCGCCCUCCGAAGGCGGAGACCGCCGGUCCGAAUCCGGCCGGGGGCACCG